CUGUAGUCGGCGGCGGGGUGGGGCGGGGCGGGCGCAGGCCGGAGAGUGGGGGGCGAGCAGUUCCAGCCCUGCUGGUCGCUGGUGUUCGCCUGCAGUCGCUCGCGCGCUCCAUCCCUGCGGGGAAGGACCCACCGACCCUGGCCAGUCGGAGAUCAGAUGCUCUCCCUUCGCCGGCAGCCGUGUGACCUUGGGCCCACCCCGGCCAGGUGCAGGUGGAUGGGCUGCGACCGGACCGGUGCGCAGGUCGAGGCCCAUCGUCUUUCUGAGCGUCCUGGGCCUCAAAGGCUGUGCUCCCUCCAUUCGUCCGCCGGGCACCCGGCAGGGCAGCCUCCACCACCACAAACCCACCCCCAGACCGGGUGCUGCGCCCUGCAGGACCUCACGUCCAACCCAGAGAUCUGGGGCGUGGCCUGGACCUUCCCUGACACCCUGCGGUCACCAGCAAGUCCCAGGUAGAGCUCCGCCCUGGGGACCAACAGAGGGGCUCCACCGGGCCCGCGCUCCGGGACUGGCUUCGUGCUGUGCGGCCUUCGCCUCCGCCACACCCUCUCCUGGGCCUGUCAGUGUCGCCUCCGUGCACACUGGCACGGCUAACGUGAUCAAGCCAACCCCCUGCUCCAGCCCUGUCCCGGACUCGCCUUCCGCACCAGAAGGUCUUGGAGGAGCCCGCCCCUGAAGUGCUGAGAGGCCGCCUGCCCUCGUUGUGCUGCCCUGCACCCUGCUCCACUGCUGGUCUGUACCUCCUUUGUCCCACAGCCCUGAGCUUUCCCUGGCGUGAGACUGGGAUUCAUGAGUUACCAGCAAGAUCCCCAAGAGAAAAGGUCUCACGCAGCUGAGCCCAACCCCUACCAAGCAAAGGAUUCUCGAAUCCGGAGUGCAGGAAUCCUGAUAUCCGCCUUCCCUCAGUUGUGCACCUGACACUGCCUAAUGCCAAGUCAUCUCACUUAAUCACCACCGCUCUCCACAUGGCUACCCUGUGCCCUAACUGGAGGAGGUCUAGAAACAACCCAGGGCCUCAGGCUGCUAGAUCAGCUUUCCACCGCUGAGGGACACACCUGGCCCCAUGAGUCCUGUUUUGAGCAAGAAACUGAGGUUCAUACAUGCUGAAGAAUUUGCCCAAAGCCACGGCAAGAUUCAGGCAGGACCCAGAUUCCAGCUCUGGUGUGACGCUGGGGCACCAGCAGAGCACUGAUGAUACAGUGGAGGGUUGCCCUGGGGUUGGGACACAGGCCCCGCUGAGCACCAACGGAAUGCACUAAGGACGCCACCUGACAGCCUCCAGAGCAAGAACGUGAAGCAGCACCCUGUUGGCCAGCCCAGCACGCGGGUGCCGUCCCAAGGGCCUCCCUCCUGUCAUCUUCAGGAUGGCCCCAGGGUGCCUGACCCAAGCAUCCUCAGACAGCAGGAGGCCUGUGGACCAGGGGUCCUCACCCAGACGCUUUGAACCUUCACCAGGCUCUAGCCUGGAGGCCUGUUCAGCCUUUCCUGUCUUCCUCUAGACCAGCUCUGGGACCUGGCCGCGCUGGCUGACUCCCUCAAGGAAACCCUCCCUAGUGGCCAGGCUUCCUUUGUGCCUGGAGUCCUCACAUUGCCA
rnacentral:lncRNA from 1 species